rnacentral:rRNA from 1 species
AUGUUGGUGUUCCCCUCGUCCAUGGCGGCCAGCACUUGCCGCGUCGCCGCAGAAGCCUUGGAAGUAGCCGUCGUCCUGCUCGAGAGGGCGUCGAACCCCGCGACGGAUUUUGUGUGGUUCGCCGGAGCAAGCCACACCGGCGCGGUGGAUGUUACCGACCCCCAAACAAGUGAGGAACAAAAUUUUUCGGAAGAUUUGGUGGCUCUGAUUACCAGUUGUAACACCCCAGGAAGAGAGGGAGAGGGAGAGGAUCCAGAUCGCGCUGGGGGACGAGAGGUUGGCUUGGAGAGGAAGGAGGAGGAGAUGGAUUGCAGAGGGAAGAUUAAGAUUCAGAGUACAAUGCACGCAUACUCACACCCGGCCACAGGCGGCCAAUUUAACCCCACACACGCACGCCACUUGUCUGGCCAGCUGGCUGGGCCCACCAGCCAGCUCUUAGGCGCACUAACCACUGGUUAG